AUUGAACGCUGGCGGCAUGCCUUACACAUGCAAGUCGAACGGCAGCACGGGUGCUUGCACCUGGUGGCGAGUGGCGAACGGGUGAGUAAUAUAUCGGAACGUACCUUAUUGUGGGGGAUAACGCAGCGAAAGCUGUGCUAAUACCGCAUAAUCCCUAAGGGGGAAAGCGGGGGACCGUAAGGCCUCGCGCAAUUAGAGCGGCCGAUACCUGAUUAGCUAGUUGGUGAGGUAAAGGCUCACCAAGGCAACGAUCAGUAGCUGGUCUGAGAGGACGAUCGUCCACACUGGGACUGAGACACGGCCCAGACUCCUACGGGAGGCAGCAGUGGGGGAUUUUGGACAAUGGGGGCAACCCUGAUCCAGCAAUGCCGCGUGAGUGAAGAAGGCCUUCGGGUUGUAAAGCUCUUUUGUCAGGGAAGAAACAGCAGCUCUAACACAGUAUGCGAAUGACGGUACCUGAAGAAUAAGCACCGGCUAACUACGUGCCAGCCGCCGCCGUAA
rnacentral:rRNA from 1 species